AUUGAACGCUGGCGGCAUGCCUUACACAUGCAAGUCGAACGAGAAGCCACCUUCGGGUGGUGGACAGUGGCAGACGGGUGAGUAACGCGUGGGAACGUGCCUUUCGGUUCGGAAUAACCCAGGGAAACUUGGGCUAAUACCGGAUACGCCCUUCGGGGGAAAGAUUCAUCGCCGAAAGAUCGGCCCGCGUCGGAUUAGCUAGUUGGUGGGGUAAUGGCUCACCAAGGCGACGAUCCGUAGCUGGUCUGAGAGGAUGACCAGCCACACUGGGACUGAGACACGGCCCAGACUCCUACGGGAGGCAGCAGUGGGGAAUAUUGGACAAUGGGCGCAAGCCUGAUCCAGCCAUGCCGCGUGGGUGAAGAAGGCCUUAGGGUUGUAAACCCCUUUCAGCGGGGAGGAUAAUGACGGUACCCGCAGAAGAAGUCCCGGCUAACUCCGUGCCAGCAGCCGCCGUAAGAC
rnacentral:rRNA from 1 species